rnacentral:rRNA from 1 species
CGCGUGAGUGAUGAAGGCUUAGGGUUGUAAAGCUCUUUUACCAGGGAUGAUAAUGACAGUACCUGGAGAAUAAGCUCCGGCUAACUCCGUGCCAGCAGCCGCGGUAAUACGGAGGGAGCUAGCGUUGUUCGGAAUUACUGGGCGUAAAGCGUACGUAGGCGGUUAUUCAAGUCAGAGGUGAAAGCCCGGGGCUCAACCCCGGAACUGCCUUUGAAACUAGGUAGCUAGAAUCUUGGAGAGGUCAGUGGAAUUCUGAGUGUAGAGGUGAAAUUCGUAGAUAUUCGGAAGAACACCAGUGGCGAAGGCGACUGACUGGACAAGUAUUGACGCUGAGGUACGAAAGCGUGGGGAGCAAACAGGAUUAGAUACCCUGGUAGUCCACGCCGUAAACGAUGAUAACUACUGUUCGGGCACUUGGUGNCUGAGUGGCGCACUACGCAUUAAGUUAUCCGCUGGGGAGU